AUUGAACGCUGGCGGCAGGCUUAACACAUGCAAGUCGAACGAGUGGCGGACGGGUGAGUAAUGCUUGGGAAUCUGGCUUAUGGAGGGGGAUAACGACGGGAAACUGUCGCUAAUACCGCGUACCAUAGGAUGAGCCCAAGUGGGAUUAGGUAGUUGGUGGGGUAAUGGCAUACCAAGCCGACGAUCUCUAGCUGGUCUGAGAGGAUGACCAGACACACCGGGACUGAGACACGGCCCGGACGCGUACGGGAGGCAGCAGGGGGGAAGAGUGCGCAAUGGGGGAAACCUGACGAAGCCAUGCCGCGUGAAUGAAGAAGGCCGUCGGGUUGUAAAGGUCUUUCGGUGACGAGGCGUUAAUCACAGAAGAAGCACCGGCUAACUCCGUGCCAGCAGCCGCGGUAAUUC
rnacentral:rRNA from 1 species